GCUCAGAAACUCAAAGGAAUUGACGGGGCCCGCACAAGCGGAGGAGCAUGUGGUUUAAUUCGAUGAUACGCGAGGAACCUUACCUGGGCUCGAACGUAAGAUGACUGUAGGUGAAAGCUUACAUCUCUUCGGAGCAUUUUACGAGGUGCUGCAUGGUUGUCGUCAGCUCGUGCCGUGAGGUGUCGGGUUAAGUCCCAUAACGAGCGCAACCCCUACCUUUAGUUGCCAUCAGGUUAAGCUGGGGACUCUAAAGGAACUGCCUACGCAAGUAGUGAGGAAGGCGGGGAUGACGUCAAAUCAGCACGGCCCUUACGUCCAGGGCUACACACGUGCUACAAUGGCCGAUACAGAGGGCAGCUACCUGGUGACAGGAUGCAAAUCUCCAAAGUCGGUCUCAGUUCGGAUCGGAGUCUGCAACCCGACUCCGUGAAGUUGGAUUCGCUAGUAAUCGCGCAUCAGCCAUGGCGCGGUGAAUACGUUCCCGGGCCUU
rnacentral:rRNA from 1 species